CCCGCAGUUAGAGGUGUGAGCUCUACAUGAUGCGGCUUUGGAUGUCCAGCCAGCAGACUUUUUUGAGUCCAGCUGUGAGCCAGACACUGCCAUGAAUUACAGAGUCCAAUACAAUGAGAUCCUCUGGGCAGCAGUCCUACAGGAGCUUAAGAUCAAAGAGACUAAGUCAUCAGCUCCUGGAAAACAUCAAGGAAGACACAGGAAGAGGACCACUAGGCAUUCUGUCAAGACCCAGAGAAGCUGCGGUUGGAGCAUGUACAUGCAUGGUCUCUGUGGAUACAUGCAAAGCCGCCCAGGCACCAGGCAGAUCUGUUCUCCGGCAAGCAGGCAUUCGUGGUGCACCAUAUCCCUCAUGAAAACGCCCGGUUUUACAUUGCACUGAUGAUUUGACUAUCGUUAUGUUUGAUAAGUUAUGAAGAUAAUAGAACCACCUCGUGGAAGAUGGAGAAAAGAAAAGAAAAAUCACUCCUAUCUAAUGAGGUCAGCAUCAUGACUGUGGGUAUUUUAAUAUAGCUUUUUCCAGUAUUCCCCUCAUAUAUAUAUUUCUUGAGGACCUAACAUGUGUGCUGUUACUGAUCUCCAUUUCAAAAGAGAAAACAGUAACACGGAGAGGCUUUGUAGCUUGCCCAGGAUCACACCUAGUCAGAGCUGGAAUUGAACCUAUGUAGUCAGCUGCCAGGACGUGUCGUGCUAUCAUGGCAAACGAACAAUUUUACAUUCUCAGAAGGCCGUCUUAGUCCAUUCAGUUUCCUCUAACCAAAUACAACAGACUGGAUGGCUGCUAAAAACAGCAGAAAUUUAUUGCCCACCAUUCUGGAAGCUGGAAGUCCAAAAUCAGGGUGCCGGCAUGGUUGGGUUCUGGUGAGAACUCUCUUCUGGGUUGUGGACUGCCAACUUCUCAUUGUAUCCUCAUGUGGUGGAAAGGGAGAGCUAGCUCUCUGGGGUUUCUUCAAUGAGAGCACUCAUCCCAUUCACGAGGGCUCUACCCUCAUGACCUAAGCACCUCCUCAAGUCUCCACCUCCUGAUACCAUCACAUUGCAGGUAGGAUUUCAACCUAUGAAUUUGGAGCAGGGACACUGUUGGAGGAGGUCAUGGAGAGGACGUGACUGCAGGUAGACCUGUGAGCUGGACCUGAGCAAUCAGAGGCUUCUUACUCCCUUCCCUGUAAUGUAUGUUCUGCCCAACAGUCCCACACUAGGAGCUAUUUCAAGGACACAGCCUUGAGAUAGAGUGAUGUGUUAUUGAGACCAUCUGAACUGUGCAAGACUGAAUCCCAUUAAGACUUCUGUAUAAACUUUUAAGCUUCUGUCAGGUAGGUGCAGAGAGCUACUCAUCUUGCAGCCACCCACGAUAAGUCUCAUUCGCAAGUUCCCUUGCAUA